AGGGAAGAUAAGGCUAGAAAAGGGAAGAUUUCCAAGAAAUCACAAUCUGAAUCUGAAGAACACAAGAAACAAUUAGAGAGACUGAAAGAAAAAGUGAGUUUUUUGAACUUGAAUUGCUUAAAAUGAUCAUCUUUGGUUCGUAAAACAAUGUAUUGUGUACUUUUGCAUAAGCAUUUCCCAUGAAGUACAACAUUCGUGAAUAAUAUAUGGAUGUGGUUGUUGACGUUAUGUAUGAUUAAUAUUUACUAAAACUUGAAGGUAGUUUUGAGGAGGAACUUUUACUCACAGGGAAGAAUGCAAUUUGUGUAAACUUAUGGAAAAGAAUUCUGUAUUUCUAUCAAUUCUACAUUUUAUCAGUUUUGUAAUCCUAUUUUUGUAUUUGGUUGUCUUUGUUUUAGUUUCACUGUGGUGUCUUAUUUUAAUUUUCCCUCCAAUUUUCCAUAUAUGUUUCUCUGUUCUAUGAUGAAUAUUUAAAUCAUGAAAGAUGAAAGCGAUAUUGGUUGAUUGUAGUAUUUACCGAGGCAAUUAAUUUUUGAACACCAAGAAGUAUGAUGGCUCUAGGAAGGUUGACUGGAAGUAGGAAGAUCUAUUUAGCUGGUAUAAUAGGGUGUCUACUCUGUCCAUAUUGCAAAUGGUUACGACUAAGAUCUUCUCAACUACUACAACAACCAACUAGUUUAACACCGCUAUUUAUGGGGAUCUAACGAGCACGCCUAGUUUGCCCCCUAGGAAACUUGACACUAGUACAAACUUCUAAUGAUGUCCUCUAGUCUUGUCUUCACAAUUGGUUACUUGGUAUUUAGAGCUUCUAGUCUCCUUAAGAUUUUCAUACCUAUACUUGGUAGUUGGGCACCUUUCACCAACAUUAUUUUAUCUGAGAAUCUUAAAUACUCGUUAUACUUCGAAUAAAAAAAAUGAGAUUCUCAUCAUGCUUUGGUGUUCUUCUUAUUCUUAUGUAAUACUCUUAUAUCAAGAACCAUCUGAGAGUUGCUCAUUUUGAAAUCACAUUCUAUGUUUGUAGUGAAUAUAUAUUUGCACUUCUUCACAUUCACAAAGAUAUGCAGUCAGACUAUUAAUGGAAGGUUAAUAUAUCAAUUGGAGUUAUUUAUUAAUUAUGUUAAAUGGUGUUUUUGAAAUUGCGAUAUUUGAUGCCUCUAUGUGGCUCAUAUAGUACUGCUAUCUGAUGUUCCAAAUUUGAGGAUGAGGUUGUUACACAUAAUUUUUCACUCAGGGCUAGGACUUCCGCUAUUUAAAUAGAGAUUUUAUUUCCUAAUACCCACAUAUUUGAAUUUUCUUAGUCUUGUUAUUGAGAUUAUUAUGCCAUUUUCAUUUAGCUUUUUCCCACCUGUAGUAUCCCAAGUUCUAUAAGUUCUUGGCAAGUCAUGACAAAGAGCUUUUGGAGUUCAGUGAUGAAGGUGCAAAUGGGAAUGAGGAUGAGACAGUAUGUACACUUGUAUAAGCUAUCAUAUCUCUCUACUCUUUGCUGUGAAUGUUCCAUACACCUCGUUUUUUGCAUUUUGAUGUGCUCCUUUCCAAGAGGAUGUUGAAAUUGAGGAGAGAGAGAGAGAGCACGCAGAUCAGAGGGAGAGAGGGCUUGUUGGAGAGGAGAGAGAGAGAGCACGCACCAUUAAAAGAGGAAAAGAGAGGUUCUUGGCGAGAGAUUUUUUUUCAGAGGAUUAGGGCAGGAAGAUCCUAGAGAGAGUCCAAAGGCGGGUAGGAGGCAACAGAGUCAUCCCGAUAACAGAGUUUGCUCUUCGUCAUGCCCAUCGUCAGGCCCAGGCCUCCUCUCAUCUUCGCCGUUAAUUUGCAUAUCCUAUUUUUCAAUUUUUCUUUUUAUUAAUUUUAGAUGCGUGUUUGCCUAUGCGUAUGUUUUAAAGUAAUUUCUGUAACACCUUUUUGUGAAAUUUAUAACUUUUUGCUCUUUCUCUAGCAUUAUUUGUAAAAUUUAUAGCUGUUUAGUAUCUCUCUUAAUCUUGAAUGAUACUAAGUUUGUAAAAUUUAGAGCUAUGAAGGUGUGAUAGCUGUUUUUUUAUGUGAAAUUUGAGCAUAGUGGUGUCUUUUUUAUUUUUAAGAUGCCUUGGAGCCUAGUAUUUCAUGCCAUUUUAUGGAAAUUUGAAGCUGAGUAUUGUUUUCUAUGUUACUUUUUUUAAUCCAUUUUGGGAGGGCUUGUGCUUUUUGUGAAAUUUUUGGAUUGCUGUUUUUUUAAUCUAUGCAAUUUUUAGAAUCCAUUGGGCAUAGGAUUGCUUCCAGUUUUUCUUGAAUCUGAAAGGUGAGGUAAUGGUUUCAUGUUUGUUUUUUGGACCUAUUGAGGGGAAAAUUCCUUUUAUGAAUUUUGAACUGAUUAUCCUUGCCAUUUUUUAUGAAUAUCAGGGCCAAGCAAUAUCUUUUAGUUAAUUUGUGGAUCCUUUGAAACUGUAGUUCCUGCAUUUAUUUUGUUGAAGCUUUGAACUGAUAGUAUUUCUUUUGUCAUUUUAAGGAUCCAUGUUAAUAGGGGAUUCUUGUCUUUGAUCACUGAGUGGGACACAAGUUGCGAAUUUGCAAAAGUGGGCUACUAGUUUUAAACCUUGCUCCAGAAAAAAAAAAAAAGGAAAAGAAAAAGAAAAACAGGGCACCCCCUUAAAUUGGCCUUUUUUUUUAUUGAAUGGUGGUUGUUUAUCUCAAUGAAUUACUUAAUCGAAUUCUUCUUUGCUCAGUGUUCAAUUCACUACCUAAUACUACUUAAUUGAAUGUUACUUCUUUAACUUCCUUUCAUAACAUCCAACUACUGUUUUUUCUAUAAAGAUGGACCAAGAUGAGUUCUAUAAAGACAAUUUUAUGGAUGUGAGUUAUGAUAAUGUCAUAGCAACUGGGGAUGGUGAAUUUGAAAUAAUGCAUCAACUAAUCACAAUUUUUAGAACUCAAAGGUCCGACAUGGAAAUUCCCACAAUGGAGCUUGAAGCUGAGCGAAACAAUAUGUAGACUUCGCUAUGUACACCAUUCGCUUUUUUGAUGUUUGGAUAACAAUGCAAGAAGUCAAAGUAGAGGCCAUAACUUUAAGAACAAGACUGGAGUUUUUUGUACAAGCCUAAUGGUCAACCCUCAAACUCAUCAUCUUAGAAAUUUUUUGCAAGACUCAACAAUCGAGCUCGUCAUCUUAGAAAUUUUUUGCAAGCCCAAUGCUCAACAAUCAAGUUCAUCAUCUUAGAAAUUUUUUGCAAGCCCAAUGCUCAACAAUCAAGCUCAUCAUUUUAGAAAUUUUUUGCAAUCGCAAUACUAGUGGAGAAACUUUAUCUUGGAAUGGAGCUUCGAAAUGGAAUUUUUGUAUACCUUCCAUAUAUUGCAAAUUCAUGUUGCAAGUAGAAUUUUGUAUAGUUUCAAAGUGCAUGUUGAAUAGCUUCCAAUGGAAUUUUUGUAUAGCUUUCCAUGUUGCAAAUUGAUGUUGCUAGAUCUCUGGCGUUAUCCCAUGACCUAGCUAUCUUACUCUCUUUAUCACUCUU